GUAACAGUAGUAUAAUGUAUUAUCCUUCCUUUCCAAGAAAGUGAUCUAGCAAAAUUGGCUAGCUGCUACA
rnacentral:tRNA from 1 species